rnacentral:miRNA from 1 species
AAGAGAGAUGAUGAUGAUGAUGAUGAUGAUGAUGAUGUAAUGAUUUGAUUCUUCUUCUUCUUAUUAUUAUUACUACUCCUCCAUCAUCAAUAUCAUCAUCAUCAUCAUCAAAUAAA